AUUAUAACCUGGAAAGUAUAAUUGUUCCCAUCACAUCGUAAUGAGUCUUCUCUGUGGCCAAAACUAGAAGCAUAAUAGAAAUAUUUUGUAUGUCUGGGAGAGUUUUUGUGCUUCUAUGUGAGCUAAUAUAUGUUUUAAGUAGACAUGUAAAAGUGAAGCCCUUGGAAGAUGUAGUCUCCACAAGCUUGUGUUUUCAGUGUACUGCAAUUUCUAGCUUUUGAUUUGGAGCCAAAAUAUUCUGAUUGCGCUUGAAAGUAUGCAAAGAAUCUUAAUUUCACCUUUUCUUGUUUAGCAUCUGAACUACUUCGGUCGAUUCAUAUCUGUAUCCAGUCGCAUGCUUCAUACAUUUUUUUUCUCAUUUCUGCCUUCUUUUGUCCCUUUUCCAACAGAGAGCAGGCGAUCUGCUAUUGAUAUUUUCCUUAAGGCUGCCGGUUACCUUGACUGUGCAGUCCGGCAUGUUCUUCCCCAAUUGCCUUCUGAACACAGGUAUCUUGAUAAUGACUUUUGAUUAGCAAUUAGAAUCAUCUCCAUGAACCGUGGGAUCACCCUUUGACCAUAUGCAUUAGGAGAAAUCUACCUGUGGACCUUGCAGAAGGUGUUCUACGAGCACUUUGCCUCCAAGCGUUGGGCCAGGUAUUCACAUAUCAAGCUUUUGAUGGGUACCUGGACUAGAUUUGGGUUUUUCUGUUUAUGAUGCUGCAUAAAUUAGACCACCAGAAAGAAAUGAAAAUGGCAAAUAUUUUCAUAAAAAUAUAUCAGCAUCUGUUGGUGUCUUCCCAAUUUUUGAAUAGUCUAUCAUUAACAAUAUAAAACAUGACAGUGUUGAUUGCUAUAAGAGGAUAUUCAAUUGAAUUGUGCUCAUAAACAUUGCAGAAAUUUUGUGUUACCAAAGCUAUGGUCACAAGUCAACAUCUUUGGUGACUUGAAAUUUUACAUGUGUGCGAGGUCACUCCAAAUGACAGGGAUAUAAUAGAGCUUUGAAAGGAUUUUACAAGAAAAUGUUAAUGAAUCAAUUAUUUCUUAAACAAUUGGCUAAAACAUUUCAUGUGAUUACUUGGGUAGAAACUUUCGCCAAAGCAUGUUAGACUUUUCAUACAGUCACUUUAUGUUGCCUAGUGUUAUUUAUGUAGUUAGGAUUGUGAUAAAACCUGAGAAAAUGUCACUUCACCCAACACACUUUAAUGUAACUAAAGACAGAAAAUGAGUUCAAUAUUUCAUAUAUGAACAUUGAUUACACGGAAUUAAAGGAUAACAAUUCUGAUAAUGCAAAAUGAAAGGAAAGAAAUAACGAGGAUAACUAUGGACGUUUGAGAGGUCCACUACUCUCCCAAUGAGUAACAAUUUCAGCCUGGUAUUCCAUAUUCUGUUGCCUCUAUUUAUAAGCUGUAGCCCAUGAAACUUCCUAACAGAUUUCCCUAACCAUACAACUGCUGCACGUGCCUUCUCUUCCCUGGUUAAUUCCCUUACUGCCCGUGCUUACUUUGCUGCGUCUCUGGUACCUCAAUCUGAUUUCGGGUCUAUCAUCACUUCCCCCCAUGAGAUCCACCUUGUCCUCAAGGUGGAAGGUAGGGAAUUGCUGUUUCAUCAAGUCAUAGGACUCCCAAGUAGCUUCUAAGAGUUUCCAUUGGAUUAAGACAUCCAAGCCUCUGAUGUUGGAUCCCACAGCUGGUCUCACUCCCAAUAAUGCCUCCGGUUCUACCAGCAUCUCUAAUUCAUCACUUAAUUUCUGGGGUACUUCCUUCACAGCUUGUAUAGCUCCCACAGCUCUGCGCAACUGGGAAACAUGGAAAACAGGAUGAAUGUUGCAGGUAGGCGGUAAGGCCAGCUUAUACGCAACUGAUCUAAUUUUCUUCUCUACAGUAAAAGGUCCAUAAAAUCUCGGAGAUAGCUUUUCAUUUGGUCUCGCGGACAAGGUUUUGCGACGAUAUGGUCUGAUUUUCAGAUAAACCAGAUCGCCUAUCUCAAACUGCACCUCUCUUCUUUUUUUAUCUGCCAGGUCCUUCAUUUUCAUUUGAGCCCGCAACAGUUGUGCUUUCAGUUCCUCUAACAUGUGAUCCCUUUCUUGUAACUGUUGGUCUAGAGCUGAUAUGGAUGUGGAUCCAUUUUCAAAUCGCAAUAAUACUGGUGGCUCGCGCCCAUACACUGCUUGGAAAGGGGUGAUCUUGGCUGUAACAUGAUAAGAAGUGUUGUAACACAGACCAGCCCAAGGUAGCCAAUUGAACCAUGAUCUAGGCUAAGAAGAUGCAAAGCACCUCCGAUAGGUUUCUAGAACGCGGUUCAAUACUUCCAACUGCCCGUCCGACUGAGGGUGGUAAGCUGUACUUCGAUUAAGCUUUGUUCCUUGUAAACGAAACUCCUCCUCCCAAAAAUGGCUCACAAGUUUCUUAUCCCUAUCUGAAACUAUGGAAUGGGGCACCCCAUGUAGUCGCACAACCUCUUUAACAAAAAUUCCAGCCACACCUGCCAUUGUAAAAGGGUGCUUUAGGCCUAUAAAAUGGCCAUAUUUACUCAAUCGGUCUACAACCACUAGUAUUGUAUCCAUGGAGCCUGAUUUAGGAAGGCCUUCAAUGAAAUCCAUAGCUAUAUCCUCCCAUACCUUAUUAGGAAUUGGAAGAGGUUGCAGCAACCCCCUUGGUGAUAGGGCUAAGUAUUUGUUCUGUUGGCACACCGUACAUCUGCUAACAUAACUGUGUAUCACAAACUUCAUACCUUCCCAAUAAACAUUUGCAGCAAUCCUCUUAUAAGUUUUAAGGAAGCCAGAAUGACCUCCCACUUUACUGUCAUGCCCCUCAUGUAGCAUUAAAGGAAUCAAGGUUGAUUGUUUUGGCUGUAGCAGUCGACCCUUGAAUAACAAUUGUCCAUUUACAAUUGCAUACUCGGGAUGGCUGGUAGGAUCUUACUCCAAUUCUUGAACAAUACGAAGUAACUGAGGAUCUUCUCUCACCUCUUUUGUUAAUAUGUCCAACUGUAAUACCGACGGUAUGGAUAAAGUCAUCAACAAAACAGAUGAAUUGACUCGGGAAAGUGCAUCGGCUGCCUUGUUUUCACAUCCCGGUCGAUAUUGAAUUUCAAACUGGUACCCCAUUAGUUUAUGUAGCCAUUUCUGAUAUUCUGGGUUUACCUCCCUUUGUUCUAACAAGAAUUUCAAGUUCUUUUGAUCGGUUCUCACAUAAAAUUUAUGCCCCAGUAAAUAGUGUCUCCAUUUUUGUACUGCGAACGCCACAGCCAUCAACUCCCUCUCAUAUGCUGACUUCACCCUUCCAUUUGGCUUAAGGGUGUGACUAUAAAAUGCAAUGGGGUGCUGGUCUGGCAUCAAAGCUGCCCCUAGGCUGGACCUUGAUGCAUCAAUUUCUAUAACAAAAGGCCGGCUAAAGUCUAGAAGUGCAAGGACUGGCAAGGACAUCAUGGCCGUUUUUAGCCUCUGAAAUGCCUGCUCCGCUGCCUCAUCCCAAAAAAAAUUUCCCCUGCGUAAUCUCUCCGUUAAGGGCCACGCCAUCUUACCAUAAUCCUUCACGAACCGGCGAUAGUAGCGUGUCAGCUCUAGGAACCCACGAAGUUCUGUUAAUGAUCUGGGAGUCGGCCAUUUCAACAUUGCUUGAAUUUUUGACUAAUCAGCGGCUACACCCCGUGAUAUGAUGUGCCCCAAAUAUUCUAUCUCUUCUUACCCAAAACUACAUUUCUUGUGAUUGUCAUACAAUUGAUGUUGCGAUAGUAUUCCCAAGACACACUUUAAAUGCUCCACGUGCUCUUCCAGAUUAUGGCUAAACACCAAAAUAUCAUCGAAGAAUACUAACACAAAUUGCCUCAAUUGCUCUUUAAACACCUCAUUUAUAAGCGAUUGAAAAGUGGCAGGCGCAUUAGUCAGCUCGAAAGGCAUCACCAGAAAUUCAAAAUGCCCUUCGUGCGUCCUAAAAGCCGUUUUAGGAAUGUCCUCAGGUUUCACCCGAAUUUAAUGAUACCCCGCCUUCGGGUCUUAGAGAAAAUGGCUGCCUCGUGCAAUUCAUCCAAUAAUUCAUCUAUCAUUGGAAUGGGAAACUUAUCCAACACUGUUACCUUGUUCACCGCUCUAUAAUCCACACAAAAGCGCCAUCCCCCAUCUUUCUUUCUCACUAGCAAAACUGGACUGGAGAAUGCACUAUUGCUUGGUCGGAUUAUCCCCGUUGCUAACAUUUCCUUCACCAACUUCUCUAUAUCAUUUUUCUGCAGGUGUGGAUAACGAUAAGGCCUCACGCUAACUGGUUCUAUCCCAGGAUGAAGAUUGAUCGCGUGAUCCUUUCCCCGCCAUGGUGGCAGCCCCACGGGCUCUGCAAACACUUCUUCAAACUCCUUCAAGACUUCCCCAACUUGGGCUAGAAUUUUUCGUUCCCCUUUUUCCUCUUCAAUUCCCAAACUUCCCAGGAGUAUUCCUUCCCCCCUUCCCUGAAUGCUUUCAUCAUCGCCUUCAGAGUGACUACAAUCUUACUAAGACUAGGAUCCCCUUGCAAGGUAACGAUGUUCCCACCUGAUCGAAAUUUCAUCGUAAGAGAUUCCCAGUCCACCUUCGUUGGGCUCAAGGUGGACAACCCCUUCAUUCCCAGGAUUACGUCGGAGCUCCCUAAUUCCAAAGGGAGGAAAUCCUCCACCACCUCCAAGUUUUGAAGGAAUAAUUUUACUCCCUUGCGUACCUCUGCCCCUUGGACAGCCAGCCCCGUUCCCAUGACUACCCCAUAACUCAAUGUCUCGGUUCUCAACAAACCCAAUUUUUGCACUAAGUUUGCCGACACGAAGUUAUGGCUGGCCCCGCAAUCGAUUAAAACCACCACUUCCUCUGCCUGAAUUUUUCCUUUAAUCUUCAUGGUCUGUGGCGGAGUAAGCCCUACCACUGAGUUUUAAGGAUAAUUCCACUACCUCCCAUUCAUCAGAUUUUUCCCCUUCAUUCGACGCCUUUGCUACUAUUUCUUCCCCCUACUGCUCGUCUCUUUGUUCAUCAAAUAUCAACAUUACCUGCAACUCUUUGUUUUUGCAUUUGUGCCCGAUUGAGUACUUUUCGUCACAACGAAAACAUAGUCCUCUCUCCUUCUUACUCCUCAACUCAGCUUCGCUGAGUCGUUUAAAUGGCGGGGGAACUGCUCCGAUGGGCAAGGCAGCUCCGGCACCUGCUCGCGAAGUUGUCAAUUUUUUGUUAGGGUUUGGGCAAUUGUACUGGUUCUGUCGUGAUGAAUUGAAGGACCAAUUGAGGCUGUUACUUGUUUUCCCUUUAGUUGGGCCUGAACCGACUACAGCUUGCAAGGCCAAAUUCUUUUCUUCAAUUCGUUGGGCCAAUUCCAUGAUCCGGUCCAAUCCUUUGGGCUAUAUGACUCUAAUUUCGACUCUUAUUUUUGGGCUCAACCCAUUUAUGAAAUGGCCCUCUAGCAUAGCCUCUGAGAUAUUCUCGAUCAGCACCACUAGAGUCUCAAACGCGAUUCUGUACUCCCCAACCGACCCUUCUCACCGGAGGGCCAAAAAAGGCUCCUCUAUAGUCCCCUCCAUGGAUGACCUGAAUCGAGUUCGCAUUAGCAAUUUAAGUUCCUCCCAACUUCGUACGCCUCUUCUCCUUUGCUCCCAUUGGUACCAUGCCAAAGAGUUCUCCUCGAAACAUAGGGCUGUCGUUUCCAAUUUCUUCGCCUCAGUUAAUUGGUUCACCUGGAAAUAGUGUUCGGCUCUAAAGAUCCACUCGUCUGGGUUCUUCCCCAGAAAUACCGGCAUUUCUAACCUCCUUCCUCUAACCUCCUGCCUCCAAUUUUCGCCGGCAAUGCCCCCUUCUCCUCGGUUUUUCAUUUCUAGGUCCGAGAUAAUCUCAGACUGCAUGGUAUACUCUGACUCCUUUGUUUCUUCUUGGCCCUUUCCCUUCCUUUCUCUCUCUGUUUCAUCCCAUUUUGACCUCAUAAAUGUGAAUUGUUCUGAAAUAAUCGCCAUAUUCUUCUCAAUGUUUUGCAUUCUAUGCAUCUCUGCUUGCAUCCUUGUAAUGCCAUGUUGCAUGUCUUCCACCUGCUCUUGCAAUUUCUGAUGAGCCCCUUCCAAACUCCCUACCUGCUCUGUUACAUUCACCAUCUGGAUUGGAAUUGCUCUAAUACCAAUGAUAGAAACUGAGAAAAUGUCACUUCACCCAACACACUUUAAUGUAACUAAAGACAGAAAAUGAGUUCAAUAUUUCAUAGAUGAACGUUGAUUACACGGAAUUAAAGGAUAACAAUCUGAUAAUGCAAAAUGAAAGGAAAGAAAUAACAAGGAUAACUAUGGAAGUUCGAGAGGUCCACUACUCUCCCAAUGAGUACCAAUUUCAGCCUGGUAUCCCAUAUUCUGUUGCCCAUGAAACUUCCUAACAGAUUUCCCUAACCAUGUAACUGCUGCACGUGCCUUCUCUUCCCUGGUUAAUUCCCUUACUGCCCUUGCUUACUUGCUGCGUCUCUGGCACCCCAAUCUGAUUUUGGGUCUAUCAGAUUGUUAGUGUUGGUACAAUGCAAAAGUCAAUUGGAAGUGGGGGGAACUAUGUAGUACAUUGUGGUUUUUUGAGAUCCAAUUUGGUCAUCGCCUAGAAUGUUCUUCGAUUCAGUGGAGUUGGCAAGGAUGUUAUAAGUUGGUAGAUUAAUCGAUCAGUUUCAGACAGAUGGUAACUAUUGGACUGGUUUACAAUGUCUGGACUGCUGGCUUAGAACUUUGGGUGGUAAUGCAUGAGUUGGAGGCUUAGUUUAGUUUCUUCUGAACUUUAUGACUGUUAACCUUUGUCAAUUACACGUGUUAUGAUUAUGUUUUACUAUCUUCGACACACAUAAAUAAACAUUUAUCUGAUGCUCGUUUGAGGUGAGCAACAGUGCCUGCUUCAUGAUAAUUGGAUUUAUAGUCUAGCCUGCGAUGUUAUAGCUCCAACACAAUGCAUGAGUUGGUGUCUUCAUUUUUAGUUUAUUUUGGACUUAUGGCUUUUUUGCCUGCGUCAGAUUAUUUAAUUACUUGCUUUUGAUGCUCAUUUAAGGUGAAUCACCUAAUCUUUCUAUUGCUUGACAUCUUCUCGUUCUCUUGAGUAGGGUGUUGAUAUUCAACUUGGACUAGCAAUUGACAGUACAAAGGCCACAUUAGCUGUGAAGCGAAGGCUUGCAUGUGAGAUGGUAAAAUAUUGGCAGCAGGUAACCCUUCUCUUUGUCUGUAUGCUUGACCAAACAAAAACCAGUUAAAAUUAUUUGAGAAGUUAUAUUUAUAUUCUCUCUCUCUCUCUCUCUCUCUCUCUCUUCUUCUUCUUCUUCUUCUUCUUUUUUUUUUUUUUUUUUUUUUUUUUUGUGUGCGUGCGUGCUUAUUAUUACCUCCAGGCUUCUUUGAUGUUCAAAGUCUCUUAUAGCUAAUGGACUCUUUUUUCCUUUUUCUUUUCAACUGCUUAUAGAGAAUGUUGAGAAAUUUCGUCAUUCUAACCUUCUCAUCCUGCUUGCUCUUGUCAUCCUAAUUAUAAUCUGCUGCUAAACGCCCAUUACUAAUUUUAUUUUCUCUUGUGCUCUUGAUUAUAGAAGUGGCUAAAUAUUGAAUAGAUUUGAUUUUGUGGUAACAAUAUCCUUUAGUAAAGAUUUACACUUUAUUCAUUUCUCUAUGUUAAGAAAUAUUAAUUUUAAUCAUUAAGCCCUAACCUAAAAUGGUCUAAUUCAGCUAAAAAUCUCAUCAUUAUUGUCGAAUUUCACUCAAAAUUGCAGAUUAGUGGCAAUGGAAUUAUCCAGGAAUAUCUGAAUCAGAGACUCGGUUUUAUGAAUGUGAAGUCUAGACUUCACGGUUUCACCUAAUCAGCUUCGUUUCAGCCGUUGCUACUAAAUAUUGCAUCUCAUUUUUGUUCCUGAAUUUUUUCAACUGCAGGUAUUAGAUCCAUAGUGGCUAUAAAUUACAUAGCCAAUAUAGAAUCAGUGUAAUGCUCAGUUCAAGCUUUGAGACAACUAUUGAAUUAUUUAAUUAAAUAUACACAGUAUUAGAAUGUUGCUAAAAUAUAAGUGGAUUUGGAUGUGUAAAGGCCAUCAUCUGAUGUGGUCUAAUAAUUAAAAAUUUCUUUGUUGUACGGAGAGCUCUUUGAUACGAAUAGACUUUGUUGGAGAUGUGCCAGACGCUGCAGAACAUUGUGCACUAGAACUCUGUCCACAAAUCCACUCUCAUAGUACAAAGGACACACUUGAAUCAAAUGCGGAGUCAGAUUAUUUUGUCUCACAACAAAAAUACUUUUUAUAAUUAGCAAAUUUGAAUGUCAUCAAAUAUUUUUACUCGAUUUUCAUUUUAGGAUUCUUACUUGUUUCAUUUACUCUGACCUCAACAAGUUGAUUAUCACAUAUUAGACAGGUUUAAGCACUGAAGUGAACUUAAAACCAAUAAUGGUCUUCUGUCACUUUGUAGGCUCAAGAUAACCUCAUGAACCUACCAUUGGCAAAUGGAUGGGGAGAAAAGCAUAGGUUCUUUGUGAAGUGGAAAUACGUUGAAGCUAAGGUAUCUUGUUUGUAUUUCUCUCACUUUAUUUGACACUUUCAAGAAGCAGUUCUUAUAUUAUUAGCAAGUGCCUUGCAAGUAGGAACUUAAUCUAAAGUUACUGGGUGCAUAACUACUAUGGUCUCUUGUACCUCAUUCCCCGGUCUUGCAAGUUGAUGAUAUGAAAAGUAACGACAGAGUGACUACUAUGAUUUUUAACUUAACAUUUACUUUCUGAGGUUUGGAUAGGUAAAUAUUCAUAAAAAUUUGAUAAUUGGGAUGAGUAUGAUUUAAUCUGACCUAUAACGAGUCUUCAUCAGCAUGCUUGUGAAUUUGAAGCUCAAAUUGAUGCAAGAAUUUCAUGUUCCUUAGGCCGCAGCAUAUUACUAUCAUGGUCUGAUUCUUGAUGAGGGAAACACAGAAAAGUCUCAUGGAAUGGCUGUAGCUGCUCUGCAAGCAGCGGAUGAGUAUCUCAAAGAAAGCAAGAAGGCUUGUGAAACUUUUAAUUCAUCCGUUCCUGUCUCUAGGUAAUGUUGUGCUCACUUUCCAACUGCUUCCAUGUUACAAAUGGGAUCGCUUGUCAAUUUCUUUCUUUAUUCAUAUUAAUUACUCAGAAAUACAUGUGUACCUUCUGUUUCAUUAUAUAACAUCGAGAAAUCUGAGAAAAUGGAGAUUCAAAAGAGAUCAGACCACACCAUUUAUGAUAGCUGUAAUUUACUCCUGUUUUGGUCCUCCAUAAGAAUUUGGUUAGGAACAUUUGAAAGGUAGCUUCUAGAACUGAGGUAUACAAAUAUAUAAGCCUUUGGAAUGGUUAUUUAUUUAUUUAUUAUUUCUUUUAAAGCUAUUUAUAGACAGUAAUUUCUUAUUUGUGUCCAUGUAGCAUGAACUAUAGCAAAUAAUGUUAGUAUUUAUUUUUUCCUAUCAGUGUACUGUAAAAAAAUGAGAUGGCAGAAAGAAAAAGCAUUGUAUAUCUUUGCAUGCUUUUGGCAUCUGUUUGGUCCUCCUAGUUUUACAUCUAUCCAUGUGACAUCUCCAUUUUUACCGAUUUUGCCUAAGAUCCAAUUUUAAAUGAAGAAAACAACAUUUUUCUACUUAAUCACGUAACAAUUUUUUAAGAUUGAAUAAUAGGUUAGUGUACAUUACAUUACGACUAAAGAUGAUCUUGAUGGCUCUGAGAAUCAGUAAAUUCUUAUUUCUGAUGCAGGAAUCCACCUCUUUGGGGAACAAUGAAGUAUCUCUCAGAGAAGAUUCCCAAGGACACUUCUAGCAAGGUCCGAAUUAACAGGGAUCUAUACUCUAGUGAAAAGUAAGUCUUCUUUAGUAUUAUAACUCCAAAAAAUACAAGUCAUUCAUGCACGUAUAUCAGCAUAGAUGUUAUACAAAUAUGGUGGUGGGGCUGCAACUCUUACGUUAACAACAGGAAAACAGUGAACCAGUUGAGCAGAAAUUUUUGGGGUCUUUGUUCACGGAAUUUAAUAGAUAUUCUUGCCUAACCACAUGGAAGCAAGGUUGGGUCUUGUCUAAUGUAAACUAAUUCUUUUGAAUGUAGAAUUAUGGAGACAGCACCAACUUUGCCUGACUUUGCAUUGGCUCUGAAACCUGAUGAAUAUCAGCUUCCUAUUGUUGAUGCAUUUUGGAAUGAGGAAACAAACAAGGCCCAAGUCAACCACGAGAAGCUUAAAGGGUAGCUUUGCACGGGUUCCACACAUAUCAAACUCUGAAAAAAUACAUGUCUGCAAAUGCAAUGGUACAUGCUGUUCAUAGACGAGGAAGGGUUGUAGAAGAAUUACCAAUCAAUUUUUUGGUUAAUUUGCAUCCCAAAGGUCCAUCCUCUUCUCUUUGGCUUUUCCAUUUCCCCCCCCUUUUGAUCUUCUUGUUAAUUGAAUCGUUUUGUAUCAUUUCCUACAAAUGUGUAAUAAUCCCCCCGUGAGAAAGAUUUGUACAACGACCUUUUAUGUUUACUUUUAACACUGGAGGGAAAGGAUAAAGAAUGAAUUUAUUUGCCAACGUAAAAAAUUCUUUUUCCUGUUGUCGUAGUUCAUAAAAAAUAAGUCGAUAAGAACUCUUAGCUCACUCGUCUGUACUCAAAACAGCUUAGUCUCGCCUUGGUGUGAGUUGAUAAAAAAAAAAGGCUAAUUGUUGAAUCCUUUUCAUCUGGUGUACAUAAUUAGCUAAGAAGAAGUGCAAUACAGUUGUUUACUUGCACGUUGGGGUACAGCAACACAAGGCAUCCAAGUGAUUAUCACACGCAACAAUCACAGAAACAUGCAUUUGU
rnacentral:lncRNA from 1 species